AAGCUCGUAGUUGGAUUUCGGCGUGCGCUCAGGCUGGUCGGCCGUCAGGGUCUGUACCGUUUGGGUCACGCCCCACUGUAGGAUACUCACCGCUGUCCUUAACUGGGUGGCGGUCAAAGGGGGUGUGCAUGGGGGCAACUCUGUGCAUAUCUCUGGGGUUCCUACUCUUUUACUUUGAGCAAAUUAGAGUGUUCAAAGCAGGCAAUCGAGCCUUGAAUACUUCAGCAUGGGAUAAUGGAACAGGACUGGGGUCCUGAUUUCGUUGGUUUCUGGGAUCUCAGUAAUGAUUAAUAGGGAUAGUUGGGGGCAUUAGUAUUUAAUUGUCAGAGGUGAAAUUCUUGGAUUUAUGAAAGACUAACUUCUGCGAAAGCAUUUGCCAAGGAUGUUUUCAUUAAUCAAGAACGAAAGUUAGGGGAUCGAAGACGAUCAGAUACCGUCGUAGUCUUAACCAUAUACGAUGCCGACCAGCGAUUGGGAGACGUUACAUGGAUGACUCCCCCAGCAGCUUGCGAGAAAUCACAAGUCUUUGGGUUCCGGGGGGAGUAUGGUCGCAAGGCUGAAACUUAAAGGAAUUGACGGAAGGGCACCACCAGGAGUGGAGCCUGCGGCUUAAUUUGACCCAACACGGGGAAACUUACCAGGUCCAGACAUAGUAAGGAUUGACAGAUUUGAGAGCUCUUUCUUGAUUCUAUGGGUGGUGGUGCAUGGCCGUUCUUAGUUGGUGGAGUGAUUUGUCUGGUUAAUUCCGUUAAUGAACGAGACCUUAACCUGCUAAAUAUGUCACUGGUAGACUUCUGCCAAAACAGGUGGGUGUCUAGGGGAAAGUUUCGAUGGACUCCGACGCAUUCAUCUGUGGAUGACUACCAGGAUGUACUUCUUAGAGGGACUAUCUGUAUCAAAGCAGAUGGAAGUUUGAGGCAAUAACAGGUCUGUGAUGCCCUUAGAUGUUCUGGGCCGCACGCGCGCUACACUGACAAGUUCAACGAGUUUAACACCUUGCUCGAUAGGGCUGGGUAAUCUUUGAAAAACUUGUCGUGAUGGGGAUAGAUCAUUGUAAUUAUUGGUCUUCAACGAGGAAUUCCUAGUAAGCGUGAGUCAUCAGCUCGCGUUGAUUACGUCCCUGCCCUUUGUACACACCGCCCGUCGCUCCUACCGAUUGAAUGAUCCGGUGAAAUGUUGGGGGCUGGGGUCUUUUGGCGGCGGGGCAACUCGUCGUCAGGGAUUCUGCAAACUUCAUUAAACCUUAUCAUUUAGA
rnacentral:rRNA from 1 species